GAUGGACGCUGGCGGCGUGCCUAAUACAUGCAAGUCGAGCGAACGGACGAGAAGCUUGCUUCUCUGAUGUUAGCGGCGGACGGGUGAGUAACACGUGGAUAACCUACCUAUAAGACUGGGAUAACUUCGGGAAACCGGAGCUAAUACCGGAUAAUAUUUUGAACCGCAUGGUUCAAAAGUGAAAGACGGUCUUGCUGUCACUUAUAGAUGGAUCCGCGCUGCAUUAGCUAGUUGGUAAGGUAACGGCUUACCAAGGCAACGAUGCAUAGCCGACCUGAGAGGGUGAUCGGCCACACUGGAACUGAGACACGGUCCAGACUCCUACGGGAGGCAGCAGUAGGGAAUCUUCCGCAAUGGGCGAAAGCCUGACGGAGCAACGCCGCGUGAGUGAUGAAGGUCUUCGGAUCGUAAAUCUCUGUUAUUAGGGAAGAACAUAUGUGUAAGUAACUGUGCACAUCUUGACGGUACCUAAUCAGAAAGCCACGGCUAACUACGUG
rnacentral:rRNA from 1 species